GAUGAACGCUGGCGGCGUGCUUAACACAUGCAAGUCGAACGGUGAACACGGAGCUUGCUCUGUGGGAUCAGUGGCGAACGGGUGAGUAACACGUGAGCAACCUGCCCCUGACUCUGGGAUAAGCGCUGGAAACGGCGUCUAAUACUGGAUAUGUGACGUGACCGCAUGGUCUGCGUUUGGAAAGAUUUUUCGGUUGGGGAUGGGCUCGCGGCCUAUCAGCUUGUUGGUGAGGUAAUGGCUCACCAAGGCGUCGACGGGUAGCCGGCCUGAGAGGGUGACCGGCCACACUGGGACUGAGGGACGGCCCAGACUGCUACGGGAGGCAGUAGUGGGGAAUAUGGCACAAUGGGAGCAAGCCUGAUGCAGCAACGCCGCGUGAGGGAUGACGGCCUUCGGGGUGUAAACCUCUUUUAGCAGGGAAGAAGCGAAAGUGACGGUACCUGCAGAAAAAGCGCCGGCUAACUACGUG
rnacentral:rRNA from 1 species